GACGAACGCUGGCGGCGUGCCUAAUACAUGCAAGUAGAACGCUGAAGGAGGAGCUUGCUUCUCCGGAUGAGUUGCGAACGGGUGAGUAACGCGUAGGUAACCUGCCUGGUAGCGGGGGAUAACUAUUGGAAACGAUAGCUAAUACCGCAUAACAGUAGAUAUUGCAUGAUAUCUGCUUGAAAGGUGCAAUUGCAUCACUACCAGAUGGACCUGCGUUGUAUUAGCUAGUUGGUGAGGUAACGGCUCACCAAGGCGACGAUACAUAGCCGACCUGAGAGGGUGAUCGGCCACACUGGGACUGAGACACGGCCCAGACUCCUACGGGAGGCAGCAGUAGGGAAUCUUCGGCAAUGGACGGAAGUCUGACCGAGCAACGCCGCGUGAGUGAAGAAGGUUUUCGGAUCGUAAAGCUCUGUUGUAAGAGAAGAACGAGUGUGAGAGUGGAAAGUUCACACUGUAACGGUAUCUUACCAGAAAGGGACGGCUAACUACGUG
rnacentral:rRNA from 1 species